rnacentral:rRNA from 1 species
UACCAGCACCCCGAGUGGUCGGGACGAUUAUUGGGCCUAAAGCAUCCGUAGCCGGCCUUACAAGUCCUCCGUUAAAUCCAGCUGCUUAACAGAUGGGCUGCGGAGGAUACUAUAAGACUAGGAGGCAGGAGAGGCAAGCGGUACUCAGUGGGUAGGGGUAAAAUCCGUUGAUCCAUUGAAGACCACCAGUGGCGAAGGCGGCUUGCCAGAAUGCGCUCGACGGUGAGGGAUGAAAGCUGGGGGAGCAAAAGGG